rnacentral:lncRNA from 1 species
CCCCUGAAACUUUCUAAAGUAGCGACACUCUCCUCCUCCGUCUUCACUCCUCCUCGUUUCUCCUCUCUUUCGCGCUCCCUCCUCGACCGCGGCGCCGCCUGCAACGCUUGAGCGCAGCAACGUCGCCACCAUGCGCUCCUCGCC